rnacentral:piRNA from 1 species
CAAGAUAUGACCAAAACAAAGACA